GUUGAACGCUGGCGGCAGGCCUAACACAUGCAAGUCGAGCGAGCGGCGGACGGGUGAGUAAUGUCUGGGAAACUGCCUGAUGGAGGGGGAUCACUACUGGAAACGGUAGCUAAUACCGCAUAACAUCAGAUGUGCCCAGAGGGGAUUAGCUAGUAGGUGGGGUAAUGGCUCACCUAGUCGACGAUCCCUAGCUGGUCUGAGCGGAUGACCAGCCACACUGGAACUGAGACACGGUCCAGACUCCUACGGGAGGCAGCAGUAGGGAAUAUUGGACAAUGGGCGCAAGGCUGAUGCAGCAAUGCCGCGUGUAUGAAGAAGGCCUUCGGGUUGUAAAGUACGGUCAGCGAGGAGGCGUUACUCGCAGAAAAAGCACCGGCUAACUCCGUGCCAGCAGCCGCGGUAAUAC
rnacentral:rRNA from 1 species